GGUCUAUGAUGAGUUUUGGCAUGUAUUAUCUGAGUGUAAACUUGAAGAUUAUUGGUUUAGCUCUAGAAUUACUCUGAGACCUG
ensembl:snoRNA